UUUCACGUGCGAUGAUUUGUUGAAGUUCAACAACAUAUGAGUUAAUUUCGAUUUCCCCCCCCCCCUAAUAAUGUUGAAUAGGCUAACCUUCUAGCUACACAACACUUAUGUUUUAGUGGACAAUAUCAAUAGCAUUUUGCUUGUUGGCUAGUUGCAAGUAUAGCUAGCCAGAAGCUAAUUCUCUUUGGCCAUACAGUGAGAUGCAUAGACGCUAGCUUAAACGAGUCAACUCUGUUGACAUAAGAUGCAACAUUUGGUAUGUAUGGACAAUAGCUCACUAGCAUUCUAGCUAGCUAAACUCUCUUUCAAAGAAGAUAGCUAGCUAGGCAUAAGACAGUAAACUGAAGUCUGCUGCGCCUCAUCAUCAUUCAUUGCAUUGAAUGCAUGAAACAUCUCAAGCUUUGUUUCUCCCUUCACAGCAAUCUGGAUCCAUUGACAGAGACUUAUGGAAUCCGAUUUUACCUACAUUACCUGGCCCACUGGCCUGAGUACUUCAUUGUUGCAGAGGCCCCUGGUGGAGAAUUGAUGGGUGACAGUAGAUAUGAGGAAAGCCUUGUCGAGAGACACAGAGAAGAAGUCCAUCAUUCCUAUACCACAUCCUGUCAGACCAGAAGAUAUAGAAUAAUAGUAGACUGUGGCAUUCUGACACUUUUGAAAACAAAUACAUUUAUAUUUCCCAAAAGUCUGCAUUGGAAAAUGAAGGGUGAUUAGGACUAGUUUUAUUGUUAAGGUGUAGUGUGUGAAAGCUUACAGUAUAUCAUUGUACAUAAUAUUGACUUAUCCAAAAAAUGAUCCUUUGUGAAACUUGUGUGAAAUUUGAAAGUACGAAAUGCUAUAUGGAAUUGAAAGGACUAAUUCAAAUUCAAUAAAUGAUAUCUACUUACAUGACUCACCCAGGUAAAUGAUAUCUGCUGCGUUGUUACAAUCAGUUAUAUGGUACAAAUAAAUGAAAACAUGUUGGA